rnacentral:rRNA from 1 species
GUGGAUUAGAUACCCUGGUAGUCCACGCCCUAAACGAUGUCAACUAGUUGUCGGGUCUUAAUUGACUUGGUAACGCAGCUAACGCGUGAAGUUGACCGCCUGGGGAGUACGGUCGCAAGAUUAAAACUCAAAGGAAUUGACGGGGACCCGCACAAGCGGUGGAUGAUGUGGAUUAAUUCGAUGCAACGCGAAAAACCUUACCUACCCUUGACAUGUACGGAAGCCUUGAGAGAUUGAGGCGUGCUCGAAAGAGAGCCGUAACACAGGUGCUGCAUGGUUGUCGACAGCU